UAGGGAAUCUUCCACAAUGGACGCAAGUCUGAUGGAGCAACGCCGCGUGAGUGAAGAAGGGUUUCGGCUCGUAAAGCUCUGUUGUUAAAGAAGAACGUGGGUAAGAGAACUGUUUACCCAGUGACGGUAUUAACCAGAAAGCACGGCUAACUACGCGCCAG
rnacentral:rRNA from 1 species